CUACGUGCCAGCAGCCGCGGUAAUACGGAGGAUGCGAGCGUUAUCCGGAUUUAUUGGGUUUAAAGGGUGCGUAGGCGGUUUGUUAAGUCAGCGGUGAAAUCUAGAGGCUCAACCUCGAAACUGCCGUUGAAACUGGCGAACUUGAGUGUAGAUGAGGUAGGCGGAAUUCGUGGUGUAGCGGUGAAAUGCAUAGAUAUCACGAGGAACUCCAAUUGCGAAGGCAGCUUACUAAGGUACAACUGACGCUGAAGCACGAAAGCGUGGGUAUCAAACAGGAUUAGAUACCCUGGUAGUCCACGCAGUAAACGAUGAUAACUGGGCGUAUGCGAUAUACAGUAUGCUCCUAAGCGAAAGCGUUAAGUUAUCCACCUGGGGAGUACGCCGGCAACGGUGAAACUCAAAGGAAUUGACGGGGGCCCGCACAAGCGGAGGAACAUGUGGUUUAAUUCGAUGAUACGCGAGGAACCUUACCCGGGAUUGAA
rnacentral:rRNA from 1 species